CCUACGGGGGGCAGCAGUGAGGAAUAUUGGUCAAUGGUCGGGAGACUGAACCAGCCAAGCCGCGUGAGGGAUGAAGGUACAGAGUAUCGUAAACCUCUUUUGUCAGGGAACAAAGGCGGGGACGCGUCCCCGGAUGAGUGUACCUGAAGAAAAAGCAUCGGCUAACUCCGUGCCAGCAGCCGCGGUAAUACGGAGGAUGCGAGCGUUAUCCGGAUUUAUUGGGUUUAAAGGGUGCGCAGGCGGUAUGCUAAGUCAGCGGUAAAAGCCCGGGGCUCAACCCGGGCCCGCCGUUGAAACUGGCAGUCUCGAGUGGGAGAGAGGUAUGCGGAAUGCGCGGUGUAGCGGUGAAAUGCAUAGAUAUCGCGCAGAACUCCGAUGGCGAAGGCAGCAUGCCGGCUCCACACUGACGCUGAGGCACGAAAGCGUGGGUAUCGAACAGGAUUAGAUACCCGAGUAGUC
rnacentral:rRNA from 1 species